AAGUUAGCAAGGGGAUGAAAUUUGUAGGAGGUGAAACUGCAGCAUUAAGCAGAGUAUAUGAAUACUUUUGGAAGAAGCUGAAGAGCCAAGAGAAUUAUUCUUACAUGGUGGUUAUAUCUACUAGUUCUUCUCCUUCCUAUACAAGAGUUCAUAUCAGUUUUCUUUUGGGGGUUUUAUGAAAAGUAGGUUUUACUUUCAUGCUUUUUCUUCAUCUAAUUUUUUCACUUAUUUCCAAUGCAUAUUUAGAAGUGGUCUAAAUUAUUAGAGUUAAUUAGUGGGUUGAAGAACAUGUCUCAUUUUAUAUAAGAACUCUUUUCAUAAAUAUAUUUAACAAAAACGUAGUGCCACUGUCACCUAAAGAGGGUUUUGUCACUCAUCGUUACAAGAGCUCAAGGUAACUAAUAAUAAGAUUAGGACAAAAUUUAAUAUUAAGAUUCCCAGUUUCUUUCAAUAAAUGUAUUUUCUUUUGGAUUCAGUGCUACUAGAUUAGGAUUUCCUCUUGUUUUUUGCUAGCUAGGCUACAAGUGGAGUUAGUAGAAGUGGUAGU